rnacentral:rRNA from 1 species
ACUUUAAGUUGGGAGGAAGGGUUGUAGAUUAAUACUCUGCAAUUUUGACGUUACCGACAGAAUAAGCACCGGCUAACUCUGUGCCAGCAGCCGCGGUAAUACAGAGGGUGCAAGCGUUAAUCGGAAUUACUGGGCGUAAAGCGCGCGUAGGUGGUUUGUUAAGUUGGAUGUGAAAUCCCCGGGCUCAACCUGGGAACUGCAUUCAAAACUGACUGACUAGAGUAUGGUAGAGGGUGGUGGAAUUUCCUGUGUAGCGGUGAAAUGCGUAGAUAUAGGAAGGAACACCAGUGGCGAAGGCGACCACCUGGACUAAUACUGACACUGAGGUGCGAAAGCGUGGGGAGCAAACAGGAUU